AGAAAUGGAUAUUUGCAAGGAUAUAUUCUGCUACUCAUCAAUUCUACUCAAAUUUGGACCAAUGGUGAGAAACGAUAAUAUCUAAGUGACUCCUCUGUUUCUAUGUCCACUAGGAUGGUGAGGAAUGAGAAGAUGACCCUUGUGUUCUAUCUCCACAAGGAAAAGCCUUUAUUUUUUGCAAUUUACAUGCAAGUGAGUUGCUUUCUUCCAUGUAUAGGCUUAUUGAAAUAAUACAGAAAGAGGGAAUGCAAAUUCAGAUAUUUGCCAUUUUACAAAUCCAACAUUUAGGUUCUCCAUUGAUCAUGUUCUAUAGUACAAUAAUUUAUGCAACUUGAUUAACUUUGUUUAAUGCACUGUAAGUUAGGGUUUGUCCCUGUUUAUCUCCUUAAAGCCAGGGCUGUAGAGGAUUUUAUUAACCCUAUGAACCCAAACACUCCACAACACAAACUCAGAAACAGCGUUGACCCUAAACCCUACACACAAAGCCACCAAUUUUUAUCCCAAAAAAAUGAACAAAAGAUGCAUUUGUAUGUAGAUUUAACCCAAAAAGUGGAAAACCCAGAUGGAUGUACAUGUAAAUUAACCCUAUGAACCCAAACACUCCAAGCACAAACUCAGAAACAGCGUUGACCCCAAACCUAAAUACAAAGCCACCAAUUUUUAGCCCAAAAAAAAUGAACAAAAGAUGCAUUUGUAAGUAGAUUUAACCCCAAAAGUUGAAAACCCAGAUACAUGUACAUGUAAAUUAACCAAAAAGAAAACAAAAACAAGAAGCAUGUAGAUGUAAAUUAAGAAGCCCAAAUUAGCAACAACCAACCAUGAUUAAAAUUUGAUGGUAAACAGUAACAUAACAUCAGUAGUGAUUGAUUACACACCAAACAAAAACCCUUCUUUCUUGGAUCCCUGGUUUCACCCCACCAAAGGGUGUCGUAAAGCUUUUUCAGUGGUGUUAUUCAUGAGUCCUUGGAGGAAGGCGUGCCUUGAUCGGAGGACUUGGUGAUGGCGGCGGCGGUGGUGGUGGCGGGAGGAGGAGGUUCACGGCGGAAGCGGGUGGCCAAGAUGUUUAGGAGGCUGUAGAAGUGGUAGAAUAGCUGUGCACUAACCAGCACUACCAAGCAAAAAACGACGAAGUCCAUUUUGGAAGAAGAGGAACAAGAAUAUGCUUGGAUCGAUCGAAGACGAAUAUGAACAGAGGAAGAAGAUGUUUUAAUAUUGGGAAA
rnacentral:lncRNA from 1 species